UAGCACAGAAGAGCUUGCUCUUCGGGUGACGAGUGGCGGACGGGUGAGUAAUGUCUGGGGAUCUGCCCGAUGGAGGGGGAUAACCACUGGAAACGGUGGCUAAUACCGCAUAACGUCGCAAGACCAAAGUGGGGGACCUUCGGGCCUCACACCAUCGGAUGAACCCAGAUGGGAUUAGCUAGUAGGUGGGGUAACGGCUCACCUAGGCGACGAUCCCUAGCUGGUCUGAGAGGAUGACCAGCCACACUGGAACUGAGACACGGUCCAGACUCC
rnacentral:rRNA from 1 species